ensembl:lncRNA
GCCUUACUUAGGAAGGAAUCAAAAAUAGGAAGAAAGAGUUAAAAAACAGGAAGAAAGAAGUGCACAAGAUUUUGUGUGCCUAAGAGAAAGCCUGUGUUAUUCCAUUGACUCACACAACUUUCAGCAGAGAGAAUUGAUAAACAGAGGUCUGUUUCUAAAAGUCAAUUUCUACUGAUUAAUCUACAGUUCUUUUCAAGUCAUUAAAUAUGAAAAUCACUCUAGUGCUACUUAGCAAUAGAGGAGAACUCUAUUGGAUCACAUUAUGUUUAUACAGUGAUUUAUAAACUGUCAUCUGCUUAAAUUUGGGAUCCUGUUCAAAGUAUGCACUUCCUUGCAGGAUUCAGAGAGAAGGAUGCAAAGGCUUGAAAAAGAAGAAAUGGAGAUAAAAUCUGGAGGCUUUGAAUGGACAGGAGAUGUGUCAAGGCUGAUGUUAAUACUUCUUGCAAUAGAAGCUCUCUGCAAGACCCAUCUUGCCCACAGAUCUGACACGCUGAGCAUGUCCCACCAUGCAGGAGGAAUUGACAUGGGAUUUGCCAGGUGCUCAUUGACAGAAGUCAUCAGAUCUUUAUGGAUGGGAGCCAACCCUCCAAACAGGUUCUUGCUCUCCAAGGCAAGUUUAUUUGUAGUGAAUUUGUCUCUAGCUUACAAUAAGUGUGGUUUAUAACUUAGAAGCAAAUGUAGCUGCCUCCUCACCUUCAGUUUCCCUGACCCAUGAAUUUUAUUUGUUUGAUAUACUAGGAACCAAAAUUUAAGACGCAAAUCUAAGACUCCAGCAUAGCCCUGGAGUCUUAGAAAAUCUACCAUGACCCAGUCUGCAACUCCAGGUUAAAAAUGUUAUUUGUAUUUUAUGUUGUUAUUUCCUAAGAGCAAACACAAGAAAUGUGUUUCACUACAGACCCACCACAGCAAGUAAUUGCUGCCUUGCUUUAUAUUUAUUUUCAUUAAAAGCACCCCUGUGAAUAUUUAUAAAUGUAGGCACGCAGAGACAGACACAAGCAGAGUGAGCUGCGGUGCCACUCAUGUGCCAAGCUGCACUGCCACCAGCGGGGCCCUUGCCAGAGAGGAGCUCUGGAAGGAAUGAGCAGAUGGCAGAGCAGACAAAGCAGAAAGGAGGCUUUUGAUCACGACUGUUCAGCGUGUUACCCAGCAGAGCUGCAAUUAUGUCUCCUUGAUGGCAAGGGAAGACAUUCAGUAAUUUACUGAACCUGGACGUUGUUGGGGCUGCAGCAGCACAUUGGUGCCUUUGGGCUCUGGGCUGUUUGGAGCGCUUUGUUCAGGAGAAUCGGACAAAGGUUUUCAUUCUUUGUGUGCAUUGUGCACCAAACCUGCUUUGUAGGUUCUGUGUAAAAACUGAUAGUCCUGGCUCUAGGGUUUUCAUUGCCCCAGGGAAAUUGGAAACAAUCCCCACCAUCACUCAUGUUAAAGGAUCAGAUUUCCAGAAUGAUGAUGGAUGAAGAUCCUAAGGUAUCCAGGAUCCUCAAUGCUUUCUUCUGAAUAGUGCCAGAGAAAGAAAACGUCUUUUACUGGAUGAUAAUGGUUGAUGAAAGCUUUCCAGCCCUCUAAGAAGUUCAGUCAAAAGAAAGAAUUUUAUAAUAAGAGAAGAUAAAUUUAAUUACUUAGCUAUUGUGAAAGAAACAGCAGACUCUGGAAUAUGUUGAAUGCUC